AAAAACCGAAGUGAAGAUGGAUAUAUGAUGCUCGUUUUUCCAAGAAAUGCGGAAAGACGUAAACAGUGGGCAGUGAAAGUCAACCGAGAAGGUGGGAAUCGUAAAGGCGACUUAUGGAAACCAACAAAUUAUUCCUUUCUGUGUGAAGUCCUCCAGUACUCGUCGUUGAGGUUCAGGGGUGUACUGGAAACGUGCUCGAAAAUGCUCCACCCGCCUGUGUUGUGGAGAUCCAGGAACUGAUGUACUCUCUGACAAUCUUCUAGGAGGUGGCUGAGGAGGUGAUGAUGGAGAAGAGAAGAGGGGGAAGGGCAGGGUGUGAAGAAAGUGCAAUGAGAGACAGAGGAUAUUAAAUGAUAAGAGGCACAAUUGACAACUUUAGG